AAACAACAACAAGACAAUGAGAAAUCUAUUAGUAAAUACAUAUUGGUGGCGCUCUUUACAACUCCUACAGUCGUAAGGGAGCAGUGCUCGUGUAUAUAUACUAACUAAAGAUAUAAAACAAGAAAGAGCCCUGUC
rnacentral:ncRNA from 1 species